UUAGCUCAUAUUUGUAUGGAACGGGAUCGUUUGCCUACGUUUGCCGCUAGGGGCGCUGUUCCAACUGCAUACAAAAUUGGGUUA
rnacentral:pre_miRNA from 1 species